rnacentral:tRNA from 2 species
UCUCUGGUUGUCCAGUGGUUAGGACUCAGCGCUUUCACUGCUGGGGCCCAGGUUCAAUCCCUGGUCGGGGAA